CUGCAACGUUGUAUGCACGUAAUUUCAUUACCAUAAUUUUUGUACGUUCUUUAUGCUCUCUGAUUACCAUAAUGCUAUUUAAAAAGUGUGAUUAAACUUCAGACACAAGAUUGAACGUUCCUUCUUAUAAAAUGUGUUUCUUUUCACCAAGUCAGAAUAUGGACGAUUGCUUUUAAUAUGCCUUUGUAUAGCCCUAUUAAUAAAUUCACAUCAAUUACACCCAUACAGCACUGUUAAAUAUGUUGAAAUAUAUUUUGAAAAUAUAUUUUAAAAAUACAUAAAACAAAGUUAAAAAAUUGUUCCUCACGAUACAUGUGUAAAUAUGUGUACGAAAAAAUAAAUUCCUAUGCCCUAGAUUUUAAUGAAUGUUUUUUCAAUGUUGUUUCUACACCACGUUUACCAUUUCUAAAGCUAUUAUAUUAUAUUAUAUUAUUUACGUAAAAUUCUGCGUGACUUCUACAUGCUUUAAUGGACGAGCGCGCGCUGAACAGGAGUGGAGGAAGUCACCAUGGAAACGGGGCGGCAGCUCAACUGUCAAGCAGCAACUUCGUCUUUCACUGUUGUUUUUACUAAUUUCAGAAGCGUCAGAAAAAACCCUCUAUUACACAGAAGUUCCUGAUUUUAACAUUUCUGAAGGGAGCUGCUGACAGAGAAAUACACAUCACAGAUUCUUCCAUGCUGAUGGCCGUGCACAAGAGUUAGAGCGUAUCUCCUGUCGAAGAACAUCUCUAGACAUUAUGAACCAUCUGUCUAAGACUGAAAAUCAUCAAUAAACCAAAAGUUUGGUUUAGCUCCAACCCCAAUUAAGCAGACCUGAGCAGCUGAGCAAGGAUCACCAGAAACUCUGCAGAAGGUUGGUCCUCCAUGCCCAGGACUGGACACCAGUGUUGUAAGUCAUCUAUCUAGAAGUCAUCCUGCCUCUCUGAAUUGUCAUGUUCAGAAUAGAUUGCAGGAGAUCUCAACAUUGUCUCUCAAGGUCCACUUACAUGCAGAGUUUUGCUCCAACAUAGUGCAGUGCACCCGAACAAACUAAUACAUUUUUCAGUUUUACUAACUAUAAAGUCACAAACAGGUGAGUGUGAUCAGGUGUGGACCUAAACUCUGGGUGUCAAUCACUCAGGUCCCUUGCUCAGUAGUCAGUGGUUAAGGGCUGUCUCAGUCACAAAAUUUAGUUUGCUCCCUAAAAAAAUAUGCAAUAUUUGACUCAUAUUCAAUGAUGCUAUUAUCUUUUUUCCCCUUUUGUUUGUGUGUCAAUCACAGCUAAAUAAAACCAAAGGCCAUUCAGCCACAGGUCACUGCAUCUUUUGCUGUGUAAGUUUUUUUUUUUUUUUUUUAAUGUCAAACACAUUUUCAGUAUUUAUAUUUGGUUUGGUUUGUAUAAUCAUUUUAGAGUCACCGUUUCUGUACGGUUCUUGUGUACUAUCCUUUUAACAUUUCAGCAGCUGACUUUUUUUAGUACUUGCAUAGUAAUUUUAAUUGUACCACAUUUGCAAUGCAUAUUGCAACCAAAGACUUAAACUACUUCAGUCUAUGUGCAUUUAAUUUAUUUAAUACACGAGUUUCACAAUUUGAGUUGAAUUACUGAAAUAAAUGAACUUUUCCACAACAUUCUAAUUUAUUGAGAUGCACCUGUAUAUAGCAGGGCUCCAGACUAACUUUUUAGAGCAGUGGCACCAGCGCCACUGAGUUCUACAGAUGGUGGCGCCAGAAGCAGAUUUGGUAAAGCUGGGGGUGGUGUGUGGGGGUAUUAAAAAUAAAGAUAAUUAAAUCAUAAAAUUAUUAUAAUUUUGCGUUAAUAAGUGUAGUUACUAGUAAUAUUACACAUUUAUUUCUUGGUAAUGCACAUUUGACAGUAAAGCACUGAGCUUGAAUUCGGAAGCACAAAAUUUACUUUUAUUAACAACAGUAACGUGCAAAAUGUAAGUUUUAUAUAGAAAAUUAACAUAUUCUACUCUUAUUAAAUGUACCAUUAUUUGUUUGUAGUAUUAUAUGGAACUGGCCAACAACUUCAGUUAUUAUAAAAGGAGCUCUCUUGCUUUGUGUGAUUCAGUCAGAGGAGUUUGUUUUUCAGUGUACUUUGUGACUUUUCUUACUUCAUACACAAAAAAGAGCAAAUAUUUUACAAAAUUUGAUUUCUUGAUGAUUUAAUAUUUUAUAAUAGUGAUUUUAUAAUUUCAAAAUAUAAAGUAAAAAGUACAAAUGAAUAACUAAUAAGCCUAUAAGUGUUCCUCUGCCACCAUCUACUGGUUAUAGUGGUAAUUUGAUGCCCCUUUUUUUAUUUUUUUUAUUUUACAAGUGUUUGUUUACCACAAAGUAUAUUUUGGUCAUUCCUUUAAAAAUAACAUUUUAAUUGUAUGCUUUUUAAAGUUUUAAAGUGCUGUAAAUAGUUGUGUGAAAUACUUAAAUGUGCUUGAAUUUCUCUCUCAAAAGGUUGUACAAACCCUAAAAUGCAUAAUGUAAUGAAAUUCAACUAUUUCUGCCACAACACCACG